UACGUAGGGGGCGAGCGUUGUCCGGAUUUAUUGGGCGUAAAGAGCGUGUAGGCGGCUUGGUAGGUCCGCUGUGAAAGCCCGGAGCUCAACUCCGGAGGGUCGGUGGAUACUGCCAGUCUUGAAGGUGCUAGGGGGAGAUGGAAUUACCGGUGUAGCGGUGAAAUGCGUAGAUAUCGGUAGGAACACCAGUGGCGAAGGCGGUCUCCUGGGGCAUUCUUGACGCUGAGGCGCGAAAGCUGGGGGAGCAAACGGG
rnacentral:rRNA from 1 species